UACAGAGGUCCCAAGCGUUGUUCGGAUUCACUGGGCGUAAAGGGUGCGUAGGUGGCGAGGUAAGUCGGAUGUGAAAGCUCGGAGCUCAACUCCGAAAUGGCAUUGGAAACUACCUUGCUCGAGGGUUGGAGGGGGGACUGGAAUUCUCGGUGUAGCAGUGAAAUGCGUAGAUAUCGAGAGGAACACCAGUGGUGAAGGCGAGUCCCUGGACAACUCCUGACGCUGAGGCACGAAAGCUAGGGGAGCAAACAGG
rnacentral:rRNA from 1 species